rnacentral:rRNA from 1 species
CCUACGGGUGGCAGCAGUGAGGAAUAUUGGUCAAUGGCCGAGAGGCUGAACCAGCCAAGUCGCGUGAGGGAAGACGGCCCUACGGGUUGUAAACCUCUUUUGUCGGGGAGCAAAGCGAACCACGUGUGGUUCAUUGAGAGUACCCGAAGAAAAAGCAUCGGCUAACUCCGUGCCAGCAGCCGCGGUAAUACGGAGGAUGCGAGCGUUAUCCGGAUUUAUUGGGUUUAAAGGGUGCGCAGGCGGAAGAUCAAGUCAGCGGUAAAAUUGAGAGGCUCAACCUCUUCGAGCCGUUGAAACUGGUUUCCUUGAGUGAGUGAGAAGUAUGCGGAAUGCGUGGUGUAGCGGUGAAAUGCAUAGAUAUCACGCAGAACUCCGAUUGCGAAGGCAGCAUACCGGCGCUCAACUGACGCUCAUGCACGAAAGUGUGGGUAUCGAACAGGAUUAGAUACCCGGGUAGUC